GAUGAACGCUAGCUACAGGCUUAACACAUGCAAGUCGAGGGGCAUCAGUUUGGUUUGCUUGCAAACCAAAGCUGGCGACCGGCGCACGGGUGAGUAACACGUAUGCAACUUACCUAUCAGAGGGGGAUAGCCCGGCGAAAGUCGGAUUAAUACCCCAUAAAACAGGGGUCCCGCAUGGAAAUAUUUGUUAAAGAUUCAUCGCUGAUAGAUAGGCAUGCGUUCCAUUAGGCAGUUGGCGGGGUAACGGCCCACCAAACCGACGAUGGAUAGGGGGUUCUGAGAGGAAGGUCCCCCCACAUUGGUACUGAGACACGGACCAAACUCCUACGGGAGGCAGCAGUGAGGAAUAUUGGUCAAUGGCCGAGAGGCUGAACCAGCCAAGUCGCGUGAAGGAAGAAGGAUCUAUGGUUUGUAAACUUCUUUUAUAGGGGAAUAAAGUGGAGGACGUGUCCUUUUUUGUAUGUACCCUAUGAAUAAGCAUCGGCUAACUCCGUGCCAGCAGCCGCCGCAGU
rnacentral:rRNA from 1 species